GGUCUGUCCCUGGAAAAACACCCCUAAAACGGACUCUUAAUCCGUAGGUCGAGUGUUCGAGCCACUCACAGCCCACCA
rnacentral:tRNA from 1 species